rnacentral:rRNA from 1 species
UACGUAGGGUGCAGGCGUUAAUCGGAAUUACUGGGCGUAAAGCGUGCGCAGGCGGUCUUUUAAGUCAGAUGCGAAAUCCCCGGGCUUAACCUGGGAACUGCGUUUGAAACUGGAAGGCUAGAGUGUGGCAGAGGGGGGUGGAAUUCCACGUGUAGCAGUGAAAUGCGUAGAGAUGUGGAGGAACACCGAUGGCGAAGGCAGCCUCCGGGGCCAGCACUGACGCUCAUGCACGAAAGCGUGGGGAGCAAACAGG